rnacentral:rRNA from 1 species
GAUGAACGCUGGCGGCGUGCUUAAUACAUGCAAGUCGAGCGAACAGAUAAGGAUCUUGCUGCUUUGUCGUGAGCCGCGGACGGGUGAGUAACGCGUGUGUAACCUACCUAUAAUACUGGAAUAACUCCGGGAAACGGGGGCUUAUGCCGGAUAACAUUUAGAACCGCAGGGUUCUAAAGGGAGUGAUGGUUGUUCUAUAAGUGAUAGAUGCACCCCCGCCUGAUUAUCUAGUUGUUAAUGUAAGGGCUUUCCAAGGCAACGAUUGGCAGCCGAAGUCCGGGGGGGAUCGGCCACAGUGGAACUGGGACGCGGACACGACUCCUACGGGAGGCAGCAGUAGGGAAUCUUACGCAAUGGGCGAAAGCAUGACGGAGCAGCGGCGCGUGAGUGAUGAAGAUCUUCGGAUCGUAAUACUCUGUUACUAGGGAAGAACAACUGUGUAAGUAGCUGUGCAGGUCUUGACGGUAACUGAUAAAGAAGCAACGGCUAACUACGUG